AUUUAAAAGAUUGUAAAGGGAGAGACAGC
rnacentral:piRNA from 1 species